rnacentral:rRNA from 1 species
AUCACGUUCCCCAUGUUCCAGCUGCUUGCACCAGGUAACCCAGAUGACAAGUAUGGUCACCACCACACCGUUUGCCUUGACCUGAAGAACAAACGUUUCGGGGUGCUUGCUUCAAUCCAUUUAGGAGAUGACGACAGCCUUACUACUCAUACUGAAUUCUUUAUCAACAACCUGAAAGAGAGAUGGAACCGUCAUUACGAAAACUCGAAGGUCAAGAUCAUUCAUUUUCCAAUCGAGUACGUCACAACUAAGAGGCAAGGAAACGGGCAUGACUGUUGGUUUUACACGUUGGAAUACCUUGGAAAGUGGGAAGGUCGAUGGGUUCCUGUGAUCACAGAUGCAAUGGUCGUCGAGCUCCGUAAAAUCUAUACAUGGAACCGGUUGAUGAAUGAAGACUUCAACACGUGGGCUUCAGCACGAGAAUUCAUAGAGGGAGAUAUU